rnacentral:rRNA from 1 species
UUAGAGUUUGAUCCUGGCUCAGGAUGAACGCUGGCGGCAUGCCUAAUACAUGCAAGUCGAACGAGAGACCUUCGGGUCUCUAGUGGCGAACGGGUGAGUAACACGUAGGGAACCUGCCCGCGCACCGGGAAUACGCUCUGGAAACGGAGAACAAAUCCCGAUGUACAGGAAGGAGGCAUCUUCUUUCUGUGAAACAUCCUCUAGGGGAUGGGGCGCGGAUGGACCUGCGGUGCAUUAGUUUGUUGGCGGGGUAAAGGCCCACCAAGACGAUGAUGCAUAGCCGGCCUGAGAGGGCGGACGGCCACAUUGGGACUGAGACACGGCCCAGACUCCUGCGGGAGGCAGCAGUAGGGAAUUUUCGUCAAUGGGCGCAAGCCUGAACGAGCGAUGCCGCGUGAGUGAAGAAGGCCUUCGGGUCGUAAAGCUCUGUUGCGGGGGAAAAAAGGCAGCAUCAGGAAAUGGGUGCUGACUGAUGGUGCCCCGCCAGAAAGUCACGGCUAACUACGUGCCAGCAGCCGCGGUAAUACGUAGGUGGCGAGCGUUAUCCGGAAUGAUUGGGCGUAAAGGGUGCGCAGGCGGUCCUGCAAGUCUGGAGUGAAACGCAUGAGCUCAACUCAUGCAUGGCUUUGGAAACUGGAGGACUGGAGAGCAGGAGAGGGCGGUGGAACUCCAUGUGUAGCGGUAAAAUGCGUAGAUAUAUGGAAGAACACCAGUGGCGAAGGCGGCCGCCUGGCCUGUUGCUGACGCUGAGGCACGAAAGCGUGGGGAGCAAAUAGGAUUAGAUACCCUAGUAGUCCACGCCGUAAACGAUGAGGACCAAGUGUUGGGGGUGAAACCUCAGUGCUGAAGUUAACGCAGUGAGUCCUCCGCCUGGGGAGUAUGCACGCAAGUGUGAAACUCAAAGGAAUUGACGGGGGCCCGCACAAGCGGUGGAGCAUGUGGUUUAAUUCGAAGCAACGCGAAGAACCUUACCAGGCCUUGACAUCCUGAUGGCGCGGGCGUAACGGUCCGUUCCCUCCGGGGCAUCAGAGACAGGUGGUGCAUGGUUGUCGUCAGCUCGUGUCGUGAGAUGUUGGGUUAAGUCCCGCAACGAGCGCAACCCUUAUUCCCAGUAGCCAGCAUUUCGGAUGGGCACUCUGGGGAGACUGCCGGGGAAGACCCGGAGGAAGGCGGGGAUGACGUCAAAUCAUCAUGCCCCUUAUGGCCUGGGCUACACACGUGCUACAAUGGCGCAUACAAAGGGAGGCAAAGGAGCGAUCUGAAGCAAAUCCCAGAAAAGGCGCCCCAGUUCGGAUUGUAGCCUGCAACUCGGCUGCAUGAAGCUGGAAUCGCUAGUAAUCGCGGAUCAGCAUGCCGCGGUGAAUACGUUCCCGGGCCUUGCACACACCGCCCGUCA